AGUAGGAUAAGCUAUUCAAGCUAGCGGGCUCAUACCCCGAAAAAGAGGUGUCUCUCCUACUA
rnacentral:tRNA from 1 species